rnacentral:rRNA from 1 species
AAUGGCAGGUACAGAGGGGUGCUACCGGGUGACCGGAUGCCGAUCUCGAAAACCUGUCCCAGUUCGGACUGGAGUCUGCAACCCGACUCCACGAAGUUGGAUUCGCUAGUAAUCGCGCAUCAGCCAUGGCGCGGUGAAUACGUUCCCGGGCCUUGUACACACCGCCCGUCAAGCCAUGGGAGCCGGGGGCGCCUGAAGUCCGGGACCGCGAGGACCGGCCUAGGGCGAAACUGGUAACUGGGGCUAAGUCGUAACAAGGUAAC